GGGCUCAGUCAGGGGAGAAGGAGGGAGGGCGAAAGUGGGAGGGAGGGAGGGAGGAGAGGGAGAGCGCUGCGGAACAUGUGAUACAGCGAAACUUUGGCGGGGCUUAGAGGGAGUUUAACGGCUGCAGUGUCUCCGGAGCUCUGGGAAAGCACCUUUAGCCCAGAGGGAGCCUCACACACUGUGUGUGUGUGUGUGUGUGUGUGUGUGUGUGUGUGUGCGUGUGUGUGUGUGUCUGUGUGUGUGUGUGUGAGAGCCGGCUAUGUAAGGCUGCUGCUGUCACUUUAAGCCUGUUACUGAUUACACUCAGAAGAAUGCAACGGGAGGAGAGAAGGAGCGAGGGAGCGAGAUGAGGAGACUUGUAAGGUUGAAACCUUCCAGGAGUCGAGCAGGUUCCGGGUGACUUGUGUCCGUGGACAGCGAGGCGGGUGAGGAGCUGUCACCCGCAGUGUCCCCCCCCACCCCCACGUCUUCUCCUCCACACUCGCUGUUGGACCAAGCAGAGUUACCGUGGAGGGGGGGGGGGGACCGGGGACCUCCUUUUGAAGCCGAGGGCACCCAGAAAUGGAAGAAAAGCUAAAGAAGAGGUAGAAACUGAAGAGGCGGAAGGUGGGGGGGGGGGGUUUUGGGGGGACGGUGGGGGGGGUUUGCUCCCUAAUUCCAAGCCGAACGCCGUAGAGGAAACACUACUCUCACCCAGACGGGUUGGCCCGAUUCAUCACAGCUCAUCCCAGAGACGCCGCCGCACCACCAGAGACGCCAGCGUCCUCCUAAGGUGACGGCCGCUAUUUUCUUUCAGAAAAAAAGCAUUUGUAAAGAAAGCAAAGUGAGACUAGAACAUGGGGAGGGAGUCGUUGUGGAUUUCCCACAGCAACAAGAAACUCGAGUCAAGCGACCGGCUGCUCACACUGAUCAAUGCGGUCAUGGGGCCUCAGGUAUGCAGACCUCUUCACCUGCAUCGUAGGUCAUUAAGGUCAUGUGACAGGCGUGGCCGCCGGCGGCUAGCGCCUCGGGGGGGUUAAAGGGAAAGAAUAACAGGAAUCUGCGAUAACGCUGCCGCUUAGGAGAUGUUCGUCAGCAGAUAAUCUCCCGUGUCCUUCCCUUUCCCCCGGGCGCAUUUUCUUGCUUGGUCUCCUCCUCUCGCCCGGUUCCUCUGUCCUCCUCCUCCUCCUCAUCCUUUUUCUCUCCUCCUCCCAGUCUCACUGCGCCCUCUUCUGCACGUGUUAAUAACGGGGGUCUAUUUGUUCUUUCUCCCACAGGCGGACCCCCCCCCGCCCCCUCCUGCCGAGGAGAACCGGCCGGCCUUUGGCGGUUCACGGCUGCGUGGCUCCUGCCGGUUGCUCAGUAGGCAGUGUAGAUCCUGUGUAGCAAUCAGCAGCUACAUCUGGCUACUGGGUCUCCGGCGGCUCGGCCCACUUCCCCGGUUCCCAUUGGCCCGGUGGCACAUUCCAAUCCCCUCGAUUGGCUGCGGGGUCGGGGAGGAUGAGGGCGUGGAGGGGGGGGGCUUCAUCCUGCGACCCCACAGACAGGAUGUUCUCUGUGUCACAACUCUACAAGGGGCCCUUGUCGAGGCUUUUUGUGUCGCUGUGGUGUUGUGUGUGUGUUUUUUUUUUUAACUCCUUCCUCUAUCGCCAUUCUUUUAAUUCUCUCCCUCCCUCCCGCUCGCUUUCUCUCCCGUUUGCUCUCCCUUCGUGCUCUUUGUGCACGAACAUUGGUGCAUGUCCUUGGUAAACGCUAUGAAAGUUCAACUUUCAAUGUUCCCGGGGACAGAAAUUUCAAGGGGCGAUUCUUGCCGGAGGAGAGUUUGAAAAGCCUCGGCGGUGAAGAGGUGCUCCUUUGCUCCGUCCUGAACCUGGCAUACAAUGUAGAUUUCUGUGUGGUUAAAUUCAACAGCUACAUUGUCUGCUGGGUUUCUGGCCAGUAACAUAAGCGGCGUUUAUGUAACUUCCGCACAAAAAAAAAAGGUAAGUAUUGAUUUGGUUUUUUUUCUGUCAAUGUGCCGCGAAUGCCCGACCCUGACAAUUCAAUAAAGAGGAAAUAUUUCUGAUUAAUCCUACUGAGUGGUGCGUGCUGUCAUUUGUCGGACUGAAAAUCAGAUUUGAAGAGAAGGAAAUAAACCUGGAAUCUGCAGAAUCUAAAUUGAUUCAGCGUUGCUGCGGCGUCCCAGGAGUUAACCCCGAGCCAGAGAUGCCAGGAAUAUUCCAGUAGCUCAGCACAAAGCCGGCUCGUUGUCUGUCAGGAGGCUGUCAGACGGCUGUCAGAUGGGCUCCUUAUUAGUGGAACACCAGUGUCUUCCAACACACACACACACACACACACACACACCUGGGAUUAUACCAAACUCUUCACACAAACCAACAAUGCUUUUGGAAUGCAUUCAUACCUCGGUGCGCUCCUGUGAAACUUUCUUUCACCUUCCACGAAGCCCCGUAGAGCCGAAAAUGAACUUUUACAUCUGCAUGUUUGUUUUCAUUGAAUUGUGAACACACUCACAUUUAAAAAUGUAAUUUGGCGAGUCUCAUUCAGCUCAUUUCUGGUGGUUCUCUCUCUUUCCUCAGCUCAGUAUGCGUUAAAUAUGACACAUUAAGAAGACUUUAUGUAGUGUUUAUGUAGCAAUUCAUUCAUUUAUUUACUUUCCUUUCAGCACAUGUCUGAGUUUACUUUUCUGUAAUCUCAUUAAAAGCCUUUAAAUAAAGUAUCAAAGAAAGAAAACAUCUGCUUUUGUCUGCAAUUUGAAUGUCGUGGUCGGCCCGAGACGUCCCACGUGAAGCAUAAGUGAACAUGUGAUCCAGAAAGGUGGACAUGGUCCCACCGCGGAGGGAUCCAGUCGAGUCGCAGCUCCUGCAGCAGCACGAAAAAAUAAUGAAGUGUCCACAGCUGGAACGAGAAGAGAAACCAC
ensembl:lncRNA